rnacentral:misc_RNA from 1 species
UUUCCGUAGGUGAACCUGCGGAAGGAUCAUUACUGAGUGAGGGCCCCUCGGGGUCCAACCUCCCACCCGUGUUUAACGAACCUUGUUGCUUCGGCGGACCCGCCUCACGGCCGCCGGGGGGCAUCUGCCCCCGGGCCCGCGCCCGCCGAAGCCACCUGUGAACGCUGUCUGAAGUAUGCAGUCUGAGACAAUUAUUAAAUUAAUUAAAACUUUCAACAACGGAUCUCUUGGUUCCG